rnacentral:rRNA from 1 species
CUCGAGGACGAACGCUGGCGGCGUGCCUAAUACAUGCAAGUCGAACGGUCUUUCUAUGGGAAGCUUGCUUCCACUGAGAAGAUAGUGGCGAACGGGUGAGUAACACGUGGGUAACCUGCCCAUAAGAGGGGGAUAACAUCCGGAAACGGGUGCUAAUACCGCAUAGUUUCUUGAUCGCAUGAUUGAGAAAGGAAAGGCGGCCUUUGUGCUGUCGCUUAUGGAUGGACCCGCGGCGUAUUAGUUAGUUGGUGAGGUAAUGGCUCACCAAGACGAUGAUACGUAGCCGACCUGAGAGGGUGAUCGGCCACAUUGGGACUGAGACACGGCCCAAACUCCUACGGGAGGCAGCAGUAGGGAAUCUUCCGCAAUGGACGAAAGUCUGACGGAGCAACGCCGCGUGAGUGAAGAAGGUUUUCGGAUCGUAAAACUCUGUUGUCAGAGAAGAACAAGUUGGAAAGUAACUGCUCCAGCCUUGACGGUAUCUGACCAGAAAGCCACGGCUAACUACGUGCCAGCCGCGGC